rnacentral:rRNA from 1 species
GACGAACGCUGGCGGCGUGCUUAACACAUGCAAGUCGAACGGAAAGGCCCUUCGGGGUACUCGAGUGGCGAACGGGUGAGUAACACGUGGGUGAUCUGCCCUGCACUUUGGGAUAAGCCUGGGAAACUGGGUCUAAUACCGAAUAGGACCACGCGCUUCAUGGUGUGUGGUGGCAAGCUUUUGCGGUGUGGGAUGGGCCCGCGGCCUAUCAGCUUGUUGGUGGGGUAAUGGCCUACCAAGGCGACGACGGGUAGCCGGCCUGAGAGGGUGACCGGCCACACUGGGACUGAGAUACGGCCCAGACUCCUACGGGAGGCAGCAGUGGGGAAUAUUGCACAAUGGGCGCAAGCCUGAUGCAGAGACGCCGCGUGAGGGAUGACGGCCUUCGGGUUGUAAACCUCUUUCACCAGGGACGAAGCGUAAGUGACGGUACCUGGAGAAGAAGCACCGGCCAACUACGUG